ACAUCAAAUAUCUAGGAACAGAGAAAGUAUUAUAUAGUAACAUGCAAAUGCAAUUCUAAACGCAACUAAAAAGCUCUCAUUGUUUAUGAACUAUGAUCGAAGAGAUGCGUUAAUUAAUUAGGUAAUUGUCACAUAUUUUGUUAACAUUUGUUUUUUUCAAUAUACUAUAUCUCACAAGUACAUCAUUCGCAAAUGCGUGAUAAUUUUUUAAUCUACCAGUUCGUUCUGUUACAUGGAUCUUUCAGACCAGUACAGUCCUAUAUAACAAACAUAAGAUUUAUCAACUUUCUAACAAAAAGGAAGUUUCAGACAAGUACAGUCCUAUGUGUAUCUCUUCCAUCACCACGUCUUCAAUAAACUUGUUUUUACUCACAAAGAGCUCAAGUCUUCAAUAUUUCCUCAACAUUUUCCUUCUAAUAGUCCUUCGUUUUUUUUUUUAAUGUAAAUCAUAGAAUUCGAAGAUCAACACUUCAACAAGAUCAAUGCUGAUCAGUUUUAAUCAACACUUCAAAAAAAAUUCUAAGUAAUACAAUAUUUAAACUAUAUGCAGUGCGCCGCCAUAUCAUGGCUUAUUUAGGUGAAUUAGCAAAUCUUGUCACUGUUUAGGGCAUACUCCAAUCACUACUUAGACUUUUGACUGAUUAAUAUUUAAUGUGCUCCAAAUUCUUGGCAUGGUCAGAUUUUAGUAACUAGUUUCAACGACCUAAUUAUCCAGUCCACAAAAGAUAAACAAAAUGGGCAUGCAGUUCGAUUUCGAUAUGUCUCUAGCAAUUAGCCACAAAACAGAACAAUAAGUUUGUGAUUUUACCUUUUCACCCUUCGUUUUUCGGUACAGAGUUUGUUAGAGCAUCUCCAAUGGAUGUAUUUUAGGGUUCUCUUCUAAGUUUCUCUUGAAAAAAAUGCUGAAAAAUAAAUCAAAACUCUGAAUUUUUAAGAGAAACAGCUCUCUUGAGAGAAACUUUGAGUAGGAAGAGAGACGAUGACGUGGCUUAAUCUCAACCGUCGAUUGUUUUGAUAAAAAAAAAAAAAACGCGUAAAAAAAAAAUUAAAGAAGCCAAAGACUUUUGUCAUUUCCCGACUCUUCUCCUGUUUCUCUCUCUUUCUUUGCGAAACCAAAAAGCAUUGAGCAAGCAGCCGGCGACGAUUGAGAUCACGAUUGAGGCCGCCGGCAACGAUUGAGGCCGCCGGCAACGAUUGAGGGAAGAAUAGAGAGGCCGCCGGCGACGAUUAGGCCGGAUUCGUCAUUUGCCCCACCGCAUGUCACGAUCGGGAGUGAGAGAGAUAUGCAAAUCGGAUACCCAAAUUCAACGGAUGGAGAGUAAUCGAUUCAGCUUGAAUUGUAAUUGUGUAUGAAUCAAAGAAGUAUUGCGUUAGGCCUAUAUUGAUCAAUUUUGUUCAUGUGGUGGUGAUCGGCAAGUUUAUUCUUGGGAUGUAUCAACCAGUUAAUUGUAUAUCGAUAUCAAAUGAUGGAAACUACAUUUUAGCUGGUUGCUUGGAUUCUACUAUGCGUCUACUUGAUAGAACCACAGAAGAGCUACUGCAAGUCUAUAAAGGUGAUAUUUCAAGUGUAUAAAGAUCCUCUUCUGAAGUUUUAGGUUAAAUGAAGUGGUUGAGUCUUUUCUCACAAGUGGAGAAGGCAUGAUUUAACAGCCUCUAAAUCAAGAUGCCAAAGAGACCAAUGUGUGCAAGUGGUGUGUUGUCUGAUGCCAAAGAGAUCAAUAUGUACCACGAACUUUAUUCUAGCAAAUUUGUACCACAAACUUUAUUCUUUGUGUACCACAAACUUUAUUCUUUGUGUACCACGAACUUUAUUCUAGAAUGAAUUUGUACCACAAAUUUUAUUCUUUGUAUGUUUUAACUUUGCUAUAAAUAAUAUCCAUCGUCUUUGGAUAUCUCACAACUCAAGCUUUUCUAUUAUUGUUCUUUACUUCAACUACAAAAACAAUUUUUCCCUU